UUUCUUAGUGGCAGACGGGUGAGUAACAUGUGGGUAUCUUCCCUUUGGUGAGGAAUAACACGAGGAAACUUGUGCUAAUACCUCAUAAGUCUUUACGGAGAAAGCUUUAUGCGCCAAUGGAUGAGCCCGCACUUGAUUAGUUUGUUGGUGGGGUAAUAGCCUACCAAGACUUUGAUCAAUAGCUGAUUUGAGAGGAUGAUCAGCCACAUUGGGACUGAGACACGGCCCAAACUCCUACGGGAGGCAGCAGUAGGGAAUCUUGCACAAUGGAGGAAACUCUGAUGCAGCGAUGCCGCGUGAGUGAAGAAGGCCUUUGGGUUGUAAAGCUCUUUCGUCGGGGAAGAAAAUGACUGUACCCGAAUAAGAAGGUCCGGCUAACUUCGUGCCAGCAGCCGCGGUAAUACGAAGGGACCUAGCGUAGUUCGGAAUUACUGGGCUUAAAGAGUUCGUAGGUGGUUAAAAAAGUUGGUGGUGAAAUC
rnacentral:rRNA from 1 species